CCCAACGCAGCCAAAAAUUAAAAAAUUAAAUUAAAAUAGUUAAAAAAUAAAAUAAAAUAGAAGGCUUAUACAGCCGAUAUUUAAAAAAAAAAAAAUUGCGAGCUGCAGUUGGGUAGGGUAUGGGAGUAAAGCUGAAAACGAGACUAACCGUGAGUUGGUAAUUGUUGAAGCUGGGUGACGGCCCCUUGGGGACUCAUUAUACUGUUUUCUCCACCUGUGCUUGUAUUCAACAUUUUCUUAAAAAAUUUUUAAAAACGUGAAUUAAGUUCAUAUAGACGCUCAUUCAUUACUGUUUUUAUUUUAGCAACAAUUCCUGAUAAUGGCCUAUAUUCCUAAUGGGUUUUUUUUAGUGAUUUUAGUGGAAUUAUACUUGAACCAGUCAAGCAAACAUAGUUAAUUAUAUUCUGCUCCAGUUACAAUGAGUGAUUAAUUGAUUUCAACUGCUAGGGUGAAUGCUUGAAGCUAUCAGUCAUUCAGCAAUCAUGUCAAGCAGGCCAUUAGAUCCCUCCUGGCUCACUAGUUUUUGUGGGGCCUAACAGCUAGUUAAAGAAAAUAUUUAUUUUCUGUUAAAACAUGUCAGGGAGUAUGAUCAGAUGAUCCAUAUUUAACCUGUGUGUCCUAUGUUAGAAUAAGUGUUAAGUAGCUCAGUACAGUAAACUAGAUUCUACUCUUUCUUUUUAAAAUGAUAAUGAUCCCUGGAGGUGGAAAUGUAUCUUUAAAAAGAUAUCUUGGAAUUGUUUGUUCUCAAUGUAAAGAAAUUAGAAUAAUUUGAUCUAGUGUAGAUUGUCUUAUAUAAAAUGUGUUUCCACUGUGUGAGUUUUAGACAUCAUUUUGAAAAGUGAAGCCUAUUUGAUAAUACUGAACUAAUUAGACAAUUUUAUUCUUCAUUCUCGAUGUAUAUUUUAUUUUUUUCCCCCUGCCUUUUGGACAGUUAGCCUCUGUAUUUCUGAACCCAAAAGGCCAGUUUUUAUAAAGUAUCAAUAUAUUAUGAUUAAUUUUUCAUUACUUUGGUUUUAUGAUUGUAGUUAGUUUUUAUUUUUUGCAAGUCCCUAUUAGUAGGACCUCUGAUUAACUUAAUUGACCUGUUAACCAUUUUUUUCCCCUUCUCCCUUGAAAUCUUUUCAGAAUGUUUGGAAUUCUUUGCUCAUGUGGUAUGCAUGUGCUGAUUUGUGUGGACUGCUUGCCUCAGUUAUUCAUUGGACAGAUCUGUGUUCAGCGCCUGGUUGCACCAGCACCUCUGCUGGAUGAUAGGAAUACAGUAGUGAACUUACAGUGUCCCUGCCCUUGUGAAGCUUAUGGCUGGGAGGUGAGAUAGAUACUAAUCCAAUAAUCAUGUGGAGACAUGUCAGUAACAACCAUGGUAAGUGCUGUGAGGGGGAGGCCUUGGUGGUCCAAGAGCUGAUCAUGCAGGGAUGGGAUUGAGGAAGGAGGUGGGACCUAGUCAGGAAGGAUAGGGAAUGUGUCCCCAAGAAAGUGAUGCUUGAGCCCAAACCUGAAGGAGGAAGAGAGGUUAAAUAGGUCAAAUAGGGUUUUUAUUAAUAGUGAAUGGUUAUAUAUUGGGCACUGAUAACUAGUUUUUCUUUGGGGAAAGGUAAUAUUUUUUGCUCUUGAUUUCAUUAUAUGUGAACCCAGCCAUUCAUAUUCCUUUGUGUAUUUUUUUUAAUGAUUUUUCAUUUUUGCAUAACGUAUUCAUUUACUGAAGAGCUGGCUUGUACUUUGGCAGAUGUCUUACUUGGUUCCUAAGGAUAUCGGCAAAAGUUUGAGAGUUGUGAAAGGCCCUUGGCUUUUCAGACCUCGACAUCUGUGUCAUGACUACGAUAAACUCAGAAUCAGGACAUCUAACCUCGUACCGUGCUGAGUGAGGUGUCUCUCUGAUUUGCUGCUCUCUGGCAUUUUGUACAUUCUCUGUCAUAGCACAUACCACACUGCAGUGUAAUCCUGCCUCAACCAAGCUAAGCUCUUGAAAGGAUCAUCUAUUCUCAGUGGCUGCUUCAUUUCCCAUUUGCUUAUCAACCUGCUGCAUUUUGUCCUCAGCCCCCCAGGGACUGUAAUCCAAGCUCUCAGGGAGCUCGUAAUCUAGUGGAAAGAAAAAACCCAACAAUCAUAAUGCAGAGGGAUUUGUGCUGUAAACUAUAUAAAUACAAUAUAGCUAGAAACUCAGAGGCGAUGCAUAUGUGAGCCAAGAUGACUUUCCAAAGGCUAUAUGCUUGAGCUGAGUUUUGAAGUUUUGGUAAAAGUUUGUUCUAACUAGUGCCAAACUUGCUGUCACUUUUAGAAAUGAUUUAACUGCAGGGCAGUUCCUUGACUGUUUCAUGCUCUGCUGUACUUCCAUGCCAGUGGGUAUGCUUUUCCCUCUGCUUGGAUUGUCUCUUCCCUCUUGGUUCUUCCACAGGGCUGAAUUUUAUUGAUCUCCAUUUCCUUGAACUUGGCUAUAGUAAGUGUUCAAUAAACAUUUGUAUUUUAGUAAAGGGUGUGUGCUUUGCAAAAUAGGCAAUAAAGCUAAUUUCACAAAAUAAUGCACAAAAGUUAGUCUCAUCACAACCUUACCAACACUCAUACUUGUAACUUUUUAACGUCUCUGAUUCUAAAUCCCCUGGCAGCACAACCUCCUCCUCUCACCCCCAGAGAGAAAUUUCCUUUCAAAAUCUAAAAAGCAAUUAUACUCCAAUAAAGAUGUUAAAAAAAAAAAACACAAAAAACCCACAGUAUCUGUGAAGAGUGAUAAAGCAAAGCACAAUAAAAUGAUAAAAAAAUCUAAUAUGCAUUUGUAUUUAUAGAAUAUAAAAUAUACCCACCAUGUUUUGCACAAAUGGGAAAAGCACAGCUUAGCUUUGGAGUGUAUAAGCAACAAAUUAUAUAUAACUCCUGGCAGAAGAAAUGGAUUAAGAAAGCUCAAAUUGGAAAUUAAAUGGGGAGGCCCUAGCUUCUUUGUAUGUGUGGAUAAGUGUUUGUUUUCUUUAGCUAAAUCAUCUAUGGUAUUUUUUAUUUGACUAUUUCAGAAUAAAAGGUAGAAAUUAAACAUUUUGUAGAUGGUGUUUUCCUGCAGCAAAAGUCCAGAGCAACGUUUUUCUGUAAAGUUUUCCCACAAAAUUCUAGUUCCAUAGGUUUUAGAAUAACUAUUCAGAAAAAAAAAAAAGUUGGGAGAGGAUAUGGAUUCCAGGGUCAAAUGAAAAUGCUGAGUAAAAGUCAAAUGGGUUUUUGUUUAUUUUUAUUGAUUUUUUUUUUUUAAACGAGGUUUCCCUAAGAGCAUCUAAUAUACUAACACUGAUUUUGGUCUCUAAAAGGGUCUUAUCAUAAUACAGGGUGCUCCCAAACUAGGAAACUGUCCUGCUCUUCCUCCCUACCCACCCCGCCCCCCCGCAAGAGUCUGGGUUCUGUAGAAACAUUGUGUAUUGCUGCUUAGAUGGUGGGUACUUUUGUAGGAUCCCCAGCCAGGGACAGGUUCUCCUUACCUAAGGAAUUCUUAGGAGGCUUGGAGUUUCACGUCUGUUAAAACACUUGUCAGAGGUCGGGCCGUCAGCCUACUCUUUGAGCCUUACAAGCAUCCCUGCUUUCUGUGGCACUCACUAAAACGGUGGCCUGGGAGUGUGGUUACCAACUUUGUUCAUCGUGUACUCCAUACUUAAAAAUCUUGAGUACACAUUCGUAACAUGGAAAUAUUUAUUUAUAAAUAAUGCAAAUGUGUUAUACUGUUACUGUUUUAAAAUAUGCAAAAAUUAAAAGGGAUGAGUUAAAAAUUAAUGGAAGCUACAGUAUUUCCUCCCACAGUCCAUUGAGUCUUUUUGCACACACCUAGGUGUGUACACGACCCACUUUGUAAACCUCUGGCUUUAGAGAUAGAAUUUACAUAUCUUCCAAAUCAAGUAGCUUUCACCCACUUCACCUUCCUGGGUUAAGUAUCUUUUCCAGUGGGACACUGUAGCUGCUGAAGAAUGCAGGCCACUCCUAGGUAUUUACUUCUAAAGACCUCCAAGAUACAGUAAGUGGAAAAGCAAGUAUUAAUAAAUAUGUGUGGCCUUAUUUGUUGUGUGUGAAAUUUUUGAAGUUUGUAAAAAUAUAUAAUUUAUGUAUAGAAAAUCUCUAGAUUGAUAAAUUAAAAACUGUUAAAUUAUUUCUGAGCACUGGAAUUAAGGGUCUUGGGAGAGGAAUAGGAUUUUUUUACUUUUUAUCCUUCUGUAUGUGAAUUUUUUAUGAAAGAUUCUCUUUAUAAUAAAUUAAAAAAUUACUACAUAUAGUGUGAUGUCAAAUAUAGCACAACACAUUGUCAUUGUUGAAGUUGGGUGAUGGGAACAUUGGGCUUCCUUACUACAUUUCUACUUUUAUGUAUAUUUGAAUAUUACUAUAAAUAAUUAUUUUAAAUUAAAAAUAAAUGCAUUGCACAAGGAAUCUAUAGAAAUACACCACAUAGUAACUGAUUAUCCUGGGAGUGGGAGGAGAGUUGAGGAGUAGAACUUCAGGUGGUACCUUCCCCCCAUAGGUUCUGUGUUCCAUGAGUGUUUACUGCUUUUAAUAGGCAAACACUUAAUUGAACACACACACACAUGCAAACUACAAAGCCCCAAGUGCAAAGAGUUUCAUGUGUACUCAGGAGUAUAAAAUAUUUGACUUGCCAGAUACUUGUUAGUUUCUAAGGGAAUAUAUAAAAUGAAUGCAUAAGCCACAUAGGGCUCAGCUGUAUCAUAAUAAGAUCAUGAGGCUUGUUUUAUAAUAGGAUUCUUGAGCUUGAUAUAUAAUAAACAAAGGUGAAACUCCAAGGCAUGGCUGAACAGGUCUGCACUGUCCCCAGCUGCAUGAGGGAGAGCACCACUAGGGGUCUGCCGUUAAUGAUUUGCACUGUGAGCUAGUUACCAGGCUCCUUAAUAUGAAAGACAUUGUCUUAAAGUAGAGUACCUAAUUAUAGCUCUCACAUGGGGUCCAAGGGAAUUAAUAUGUAAAGGACGUGUUCCGUUGCCAACUGCAAUGCUAAGCUGCAUUCAGACAUAUAGAAUCUGUAAGGAGGAAAAGGAUGGUUCAUUAACUGUGUGACCUUGUUAAAGUUAGUUAAGCUCUAGGUCUCUCAUCUGUGAAACAAAGAUAGUACUAUUAGCCACCUCAGGGGACUGUGAUAAGGAUUAAAUGAGAAUGUAAGGCACCUUGCAUAUGAUGCGCACUCAAGUGCCAACUAUUCUUGUUUUCAUGUGAAAAACUGCUCACUGAGCUGAGAACAUUUAGCUUGUGAGUAGGUAUUCCCCGAUUUUAAGUAUCUUCUCCUCAAACAGCCAUGUGGUUAGGGAUGAUUGGUCUUUGGUCAACCCCAUCACCUUUGCAAGUUUAGGAAUGGGCAUGUAACCCAAUCUGGCCAGUAAAAUAUGAGGGGAUUUUGACUUUUCUUUCUCUGGGUGUUGUCAGGUCUUAGUGCUGCCUGAGACUGCAGCAUCCAACUUGCUGUCAGCCUGCCGAUGAAGCCAACAUCGAGGAUGCAGGGCAGAGAGAGAAAAAACAAACAAAAAACCCUUCACCUUAAUGACACUGAAGAGCUGCUGAAUCAAGCUUCCCUGAAGCCCACCCUACCUUGGGACUUCCUUUUUCGUGAGAUUAAAAAAAAAAAAAAAAGUUUUUUAUUUAAGCCAGCUUGAGUUAGCUUCUAAAAACAUCAUAAUGACUAGAAGCUGCACCAGAGAAUAUUUGUGGUAGGAGUGGUGGCAUUUAUUCAGUCAUAUUUAUUGAGCACUUUGGAAUGCAAAAAUAAACAAGAAGUGAGGAAGUUCUGAGACAUGACAACCGAGGAAUAGGAGGUUCUGGAAAGAUGAGCAGCUUGGACACAUGGUGCAUUUUUUCUACUUGCAAUUUAACCCACCUGCCUCUCCCGAGGAAAGCAGCUGUUGGGAGGCAGACAAUGCCUGGAAUGUUGGUGAGGCUUCAGCCUCCUGACAGAGUACCAGGGGGAAGGUCCCUAUGAGUGUACCUGGUCCCCCUGGUUCCUGAGGAGCUGAGCACAUGGGCUGAGUUGCCUCCAAUCCUGAGUUGAAGAGGUGAAAAGACUGGGAAGGGCUUCCUCCUACUGCCUCACCAGAGGACUGGCAACCCAUCUGCCUCUAAGCUUUGGCCAGGGGAGGUUGAGACCACUGUUCCUUCCACUGCUUUGGGAAUGCUGCCCUUAAGAUAUCCCAAUACAUGGGACAGCGCCCCAGUGAGCAAACAAAGGAAAAGAAGCUUCCUAAUGGGGCCCAGCAGCCAGGGAGACGAAUUACAAGUAGAGCCCUCAGUACAGAAAUAGCUGUUGGCAUAGAUAACUUGAACCAAAAGAAUAAGGAAACUUAAGGAGAUUUAAGUGCAACACACACACACAGAUUUUCUGAGACCAAAAUAGAUUUUGAUGUAAAAAUUUCAAGAGUUGAACUGAAGGAGAAAGUGGUCAUGGUUGAUGUCUGACCUCAAAGAUAAGAUAAGAGAGACACCUCAAAGCACAGUGCAAAAACACGGAGAGAGAUAAAUCAGGAGAGGGAUAGAAAUCGAGAAGGGGGUAGAGAAUACAACAGAAGAGGCAAUCAGUAAGAUAAGAAAAGUUUCUUAGCUGAAGAGAGAUUUGCAUCUCACAGAGUUCCAGGAAAGACUGAUGAUAAAAAAGGCUUCUAGGCAUAUUAUAUCUCUGAGCUACAAGAAAAGAGAAAAAUCUUACAAGUUUCCCCAGAAAAGAACAGUUACUUCUAAAGAAGAAAGAAUCAGCCUAGCAUUGGACUGCUUAUUUACAACACUGUAGGCUACAAUAUAGAAAACUGCCGACCAACGAGAGAAAAGAACUGUAUGGAAAUUGACCUAGGAAAUUGUAUGGAACUGUAUGGAAAUUGACCUGUACUUUCAGUUCACUCAGUCUUGCAAAAUAACCCAAGAAUACCUUACCAGUUUCUUUUACUUAGUGACCAAACAAACUCAGAGUCAAAGUCGCCAUAAGCAUGGGGAAGGGCCAGGAGAAUACAAAAUCUUAGGAGAAUGGUAAAAGGGACCAUGCCCCAAAUCAGAGUAUAUUACCAGCACCUGAAUACACAAAGCCCAGAGAAGCUCAUCCCUCUGACUGCUGAGUGCGUCUGGACUCUCCACUCUAUCGCCUGGGCUGCUGUGAUAAAAAUGGAUUGAAAGAGGUUUGGGCACAGCAGGAAGAAGUGGAAAAUCGUCACAAACAUCCAGAACUCACUGGAAAGGCGCUCAGGGCCUUCCUGGGGACACCUGCUCCAGCCAUCAACACUCCUCCCUGCUGGGAUCUACUUCCUGUACUGCAGACAUGGACGGCCACCUCUGGCCUCCCUCUCCAUUCCAGUCCCUGUCGCACUGGGCCCAUCACAAACACAGGUAGCAGCAGCAUAAAGUAAUCGUUGGGACUGGGUGAGGCUGCGGAGGGAUGACGAGGUGCUGAGUGUGAGUGGAUGUCCCAUCUGACAGGGUGUUUGGGGCAGUCAUAAUGGGCUGAGAAGAGUAAGUUGUGUGUGGCCUGACCCUUGAAAAGCAGGGUCCAUCCAGACCCUAUGAGAAAAUUAAGCCUCUCAUCACCACGGACGGGGCUGUACCUCAUACUCACAGAGUGAUGGGGAUUUUCUGCAUUUCCUCUUUUGUUCCGAGGAGUGACAUGGCAAAAGUUGGUUCUACUGGUUUCUCAAUUUCGUUGCUGAACUGAAUCUUCAACUGGUAAUGAUAAACUAGAGGGGAAUAGGGUGGAGAGUGAGAGAGAAAGAUCAUUUAAGCAGAAAAUUUUAAAAUAAAAAAUGUUGUAUUUUUAAAAUUUAAAAA